rnacentral:hammerhead_ribozyme from 1 species
ACCCAGCUGACGAAUCCCAAACAGGACGAAACACGUCUUCUGGAU